GACGAACGCUGGCGGCGUGCCUAAUACAUGCAAGUCGACCUUAGCGGCGGACGGAUGAGUAAUGCCUAGGAAUCUGCCUGGUAGUGGGGGAUAACGUCCGGAAACGGGCGCUAAUACCGCAUACUCUCAGCUGAGCCUAGGUCGGAUGAGCUAGUUGGUGGGGUAAAGGCCUACCACGGCGAAGAUCCGUAACUGGUAUGAGAGGAUGAACAGUCACAUUGGAACUGAGACACGGUACAGACGCCUACGGGAGGAAGAAGUGGGGAAGCGUGGACAAUGGGCGAAAGCCUGAUCCAGCCAUGCCGCGUGUGUGAAGAAGGUCUUCGGAUGGUAAAGCACUUUAAGUUGGGAGGCGUUACCAACAGAAUAAGCACCGGCGAACUUCGUGCCAGCAGCCGCGGUAAUUC
rnacentral:rRNA from 1 species